AUUGAACGCUGGCGGCAUGCCUUACACAUGCAAGUCGAACGGUAACAGGGAGCUUGCUCCGCUGACGAGUGGCGAACGGGUGAGUAAUGUAUCGGAACGUACCUUUUAGUGGGGGAUAACGUAGCGAAAGUUACGCUAAUACCGCAUAUUCUCUGAGGAGGAAAGCAGGGGACCUUCGGGCCUUGCGCUAAUAGAGCGGCUGAUAUCAGAUUAGCUAGUUGGUGAGGUAAAGGCUCACCAAGGCGACGAUCUGUAGCGGGUCUGAGAGGAUGAUCCGCCACACUGGAACGGAGCCACGGUCCAGACUCCUACGGGAGGCAGCAGUGGGGAAUUUUGGACAAUGGGGGCAACCCUGAUCCAGCCAUGCCGCGUGCGGGAAGAAGGCCUUCGGGUUGUAAACCGCUUUCGGACAGAAAGAAAUCGGGUGGGUUAAUACCCUGCCUGGAUGACGGUACUGUAAGAAGAAGCACCGGCUAACUACGUGCCAGCCGCCGCGGUAAAAC
rnacentral:rRNA from 1 species